AUUGAACGCUGGCGGCAUGCUUUACACAUGCAAGUCGAACGGUAACAGGCCUUCGGGUGCUGACGAGUGGCGAACGGGUGAGUAAUGCAUCGGAACGUGCCCAGAGGUGGGGGAUAACGCAGCGAAAGCUGUGCUAAUACCGCAUGUGAUCUGAGGAUGAAAGCGGGGGACCAAGCAGCAAUGUUUGGCCUCGCGCCUCUGGAGCGGCCGAUGUCAGAUUAGGUAGUUGGUGGGGUAAAGGCCUACCAAGCCGACGAUCUGUAGCUGGUCUGAGAGGACGACCAGCCACACUGGGAGUGAGACACGGCCCAGACUCCUACGGGAGGCAGCAGCGGGGAAUUUUGGACAAUGGGCGCGAGCCUGAUCCAGCAAUGCCGCGUGCGGGAAGAAGGCCUUCGGGUUGUAAAGCGCUUUUGUACGGAACGAAAAGGCUCUGGCUAAUACCUGGGGCUGAUGACGGUACCGGAAGAAUAAGCACCGGCUAACUACGUG
rnacentral:rRNA from 1 species